UCGCCAUGGAAGGACAUCACCUGGGAGGAC
rnacentral:piRNA from 1 species